AGAGUUUGAUCCUGGCUCAGGAUGAACGCUGGCGGCGUGCCUAACACAUGCAAGUCGAACGGACUCGGAUUGAAACCUAGUGAUUUCCGAGUUAGUGGCGGACGGGUGAGUAACGCGUGGAUAACCUGCCGUAUGCAGGGGGAUAACAGUUGGAAACAGCUGCUAAUACCGCAUAAGCGCACAGUACCGCAUGGUACGGUGUGAAAAGAUUUAUCGGCAUACGAUGGAUCCGCGUCCGAUUAGCCAGUUGGCGGGGUAACGGCCCACCAAAGCGACGAUCGGUAGCCGGCCUGAGAGGGCGGACGGCCACAUUGGGACUGAGACACGGCCCAAACUCCUACGGGAGGCAGCAGUGGGGAAUAUUGCACAAUGGGGGAAACCCUGAUGCAGCGACGCCGCGUGAGUGAAGAAGUAUCUCGGUAUGUAAAGCUCUAUCAGCAGGGAAGAAAAUGACGGUACCUGACUAAGAAGCCCCGGCUAACUACGUGCCAGCAGCCGCGGUAAUACGUAGGGGGCAAGCGUUAUCCGGAUUUACUGGGUGUAAAGGGAGCGUAAACGGCGCUGCAAGUCCGGAGUGAAAGCCCAUGGCUUAACCAUGGUACUGCU
rnacentral:rRNA from 1 species